UACGGGGGGGGCAAGCGUUGUUCGGAAUUACUGGGCGUAAAGGGCUCGUAGGCGGCCAACUAAGUCAUACGUGAAAUCCCUCGGCUUAACCGGGGAACUGCGUCUGAUACUGGAUGGCUUGAGUUCGGGAGAGGGAUGCGGAAUUCCAGGUGUAGCGGUGAAAUGCGUAGAUAUCUGGAGGAACACCGGUGGCGAAGGCAGUGUCCUGGGGAGUACCUGACGCUCAGGUGCGAAAGCCAGGGGAGCGAACGGG
rnacentral:rRNA from 1 species